UAUAUUCCGCUUAUUGUCGACGCUUUUUAAGUCACAUGACCCGCUCAUGUCCCUAGAGUUAAACCGCCUAGGUCAGAUCAUUAGAGUUGCUAACUUGCUACGCCACAUCUAUUUUUCUGUUCUCUACUCAAAUUCAUUCUAAAAUCUAAAAUAAUCUCUGAUUAAUUCAUCAGUCGUUUUAAAUUUGUUCUGGAAAUUGUGGGAAUUUUCUUCUUCAACUAGUCAAUUUCAUCGAUUAAUAAUAGAGGUUCUGAAUUUAAAGAGAACAAGCAUCGCCAUACCGAUACAUCUAAUAAUUCAUUGACGGCGCAUCAGGCACAGUCAUGGCCAAUUGCAAUGCAAGGUCAAGAUAUUGUGGCAAUUGCUAAGACGGGUUCUGGAAAGACCUUAGGCUAUCUUCUUCCAAGUUUUAUGCAUCUCAAGCAGCGCCGCAACAAUACAUAAAUGGGACCAACCGUGUUAGUACUGUCACCAACAAGGGAAUUGGCAACACAUAUUUAAGAUGAGGCUGUGAAAUUUGGGAGGUCCUCCAAAAUAUCUUGAAUGGUAUGACAUGAUAUUUGUUUCUAUUAAAUGUAUUUAGGUUGUCUUGCUUGAUUAUUUUUAGUGAGGGCACAUCUACUUAAUUGGAAGUUGAACAUAAAUUUUGUUUUUUCUUUUGAUAUGUUCUUAAAAUAGGAAUCUCUUUAGUCUAUAUUUUAAUGUAUAUAACAGUAUGCUUUUUCAGUUUUUGUUUUCAAAACUUGAUCUUCGAGUUAUAUGAAUUACUACUAUUUCGAGUAGAUUUUUGGGGAUGAAUUUGAUAAAAUGGUCUGGGUCAUUGUUGUGGUAAAUUUUGGUUGGAGUCGUAUGCCAUUUUAUAUUGUUAAUUUUUCAUGAGUAUCUUUUUAGAAGUACUGACUGGUAACCAUGUCAAUCUCACUCCCAUACAUAUACCUUGUGCUUGCUUAUUUGUGCUGCUGUAAUCGAUUAUAUAUGGAAUUGUUUCAUCUCAUAAAGUUAUUCCCUUAUUUAAUCCUGCGGUGUUUGUAUGGAGGGGCACCCAAAGGCCCACAAUUGAAGGAGUUAGAUAGAGGAGUAGAUAUUGUGGUAGCUACACCUGGUCGUUUGAAUGAUAUACUAGAGACAAAGAGAAUUAGCUUGACUAAGGUCUCCUAUUUUGUGCUUGAUGAGGCAAAUCGAAUGCUAGACAUGGGUUUGAGCCACAAAUUAGAAAAAUUGUGAAGGAGGUACCCACUCGUCGCCAGACACUGAUGUAUACUGCAACAUGGCCUAAAGAGGUCCGAAAGAUUGGAACUGAUCUAUUGUCAAAUGCUUUCCAGGCCAAGUUAAUUUUGGUAACACAGAUGAACUUGUUGCAAACAAGUCUAUCGCUCAGCUAACUGCCAAUCUUUUUUUUUUUCUUAUUAAAGCAAUUUAAACAGGAGCUUUGGACCCUACUUUUUCCCUGGAACAAAAAUUUUUUAUGGUCAAAGAAGAGGAUUUGGAGGCUUUAGCUACUAAAUGUGAACUUAGGGAGGAAGAGAGAGGUUCCUGUAUAGUGGUAUACUGCUGUAGGUAUAUAUUCUCCAAAGUCUAAAAGAUUAAGAAACCAUAAUUGUGGCUUUCGACGACUAGAUGUGUAACGAGAAUAGUCAAGAAGAAAAAAGAUAUCCAUGUAUGAAUACCGAGAAACGUGGACUGGAAACAGCGUCGCCAAAAUGUUAGACAACAAAUGUAAGAAAAUCUUUCGGACAAGAUUAUGUAGACAUCCAUGUAUGAAUACCGAGAAACGGUCGAAAAAGGCUAACAACUAACACUGCAUUAUUUCAAGGACGGAAGAAAGAUAUAUUUAAGCUAUUUAAAGAUUUCAAUUAGUGAUUCGGAAUUUGUUCCACUACAACUAGUCACGAAUGAAUUCUAAGUUGCAAUUAUAAUUGUUGUAAUAGAAACUCAUUAAUAUGAAAUAGAUAUUGUAUAUAUGCUAUAAUAUUUAUAUGCAAUAUAAAAAUUUCGGUAUAAUUUUGUUGUACUU